rnacentral:rRNA from 1 species
AACGAACGCUGGCGGCAUGCCUAACACAUGCAAGUCGAACGAAGUCUUCGGACUUAGUGGCGCACGGGUGCGUAACGCGUGGGAAUCUGCCCUUGGGUACGGAAUAACUCAGAGAAAUUUGUGCUAAUACCGUAUAAUGUCUUCGGACCAAAGAUUUAUCGCCCAAGGAUGAGCCCGCGUAAGAUUAGCUAGUUGGUGGGGUAAAAGCCUACCAAGGCGACGAUCUCUAGCUGGUCUGAGAGGAUGAUCAGCCACACUGGGACUGAGACACGGCCCAGACUCCUACGGGAGGCAGCAGUGGGGAAUAUUGGACAAUGGGCGAAAGCCUGAUCCAGCAAUGCCGCGUGAGUGAUGAAGGCCCUAGGGUUGUAAAGCUCUUUUACCAGGGAUGAUAAUGACAGUACCUGGAGAAUAAGCUCCGGCUAACUCCGUG